rnacentral:pre_miRNA from 1 species
AGAGGGAUAGCUGGGUCAAAUGGUGAUUCCAUUCCCAGUUUUCCAAGGAAUCUCCCUACUGCUUUCCAUAUUGGCUGCACCAGUUUGCAGUCCCACCAGCAGU